rnacentral:rRNA from 1 species
GGCUGAGAGAUCAGCUGUUCCCUUCGGGGACAGAAUGACAGGUGGUGCAUGGUUGUCGUCAGCUCGUGUCGUGAGAUGUUGGGUUAAGUCCCGCAACGAGCGCAACCCUUAUGAUCAGUUGCCAGCAUUCAGUUGGGCACUCUGGUCAGACUGCCGGUGACAAACCGGAGGAAGGCGGGGAUGACGUCAAAUCAUCAUGCCCCUUAUGACCUGGGCUACACACGUGCUACAAUGGGUGGUACAACGAGCAGCGAGGCCGCGAGGUCAAGCGAAUCUCUAAAAACCAUCCUCAGUUCGGAUUGCAGGCUGCAACUCGCCUGCAUGAAGCUGGAAUCGCUAGUAAUCGCGGAUCAGCACGCCGCGGUGAAUACGUUCCCGGGUCUUGUACACACCGA